rnacentral:rRNA from 1 species
GAUGAACGCUGGCGGCGUGCCUAAUACAUGCAAGUAGAACGCUGAAGGCGGAGCUUGCUCUUCUGGAUGAGUUGCGAACGGGUGAGUAACGCGUAGGUAACCUGCCUGGUAGCGGGGGAUAACUAUUGGAAACGAUAGCUAAUACCGCAUGACAACAGUUAUUGCAUGAUGACUGUUUAAAAGGGGCAACUGCUCCACUACCAGAUGGACCUGCGUUGUAUUAGCUAGUUGGUGAGGUAACGGCUCACCAAGGCGACGAUGCAUAGCCGACCUGAGAGGGGGAGCGGCCACACUGGGAAUGAGACAAGGCCCAGACUCCUACGGGAGGCAGCAGUAGGGAAUCUUCGGCAAUGGACGGAAGUCUGACCGAGCAACGCCGCGUGAGUGAAGAAGGGUGUCGGAUCGUAAAGCUCUGUUGUAAGAGAAGAACGAGUGUGAGAGUGGAAAGUUCACACUGUGACGGUAUCUUACCAGAAAGGGACGGCUAACUACGUG